rnacentral:rRNA from 1 species
UGAGCAAUCUGCCCUUCUCUUCGGAAUAAGCGUUGGAAACGACGUCUAAUGCCGAAUACGACCUCCUUUCGCAUGAUCGGAGGUGGAAAGCUCCGGCGGAGAAGGAUGAGCUCGCGGCCUAUCGGCUAGUUGGUGUGGGUAAUGGCCCACCAAGGCGACGACGGGUAGCCGGCCUGAGAGGGUGACCGGCCACACGUGGGACUGAGACACGGCCCAGACCUCCGUACGGGNGCAGCAGG